rnacentral:rRNA from 1 species
CAGCCGCCACGGGAAUACAGAGGGUGCGAGCGUUAAUCGGAUUUACUGGGCGUAAAGCGUGCGUAGGCGGCUUUUUAAGUCGGAUGUGAAAUCCCUGAGCUUAACUUAGGAAUUGCAUUCGAUACUGGGAAGCUAGAGUAUGGGAGAGGAUGGUAGAAUUCCAGGUGUAGCGGUGAAAUGCGUAGAGAUCUGGAGGAAUACCGAUGGCGAAGGCAGCCAUCUGGCCUAAUACUGACGCUGAGGUACGAAAGCAUGGGGAGCAAACAGGAUUAGAUACCCGUGUAGUCCCUGUCUCUUAUAC